rnacentral:rRNA from 1 species
AGUGAACGCUGGCGGUAGGCCUAACACAUGCAAGUCGAACGGCAGCACAGUAAGAGCUUGCUCUUACGGGUGGCGAGUGGCGGACGGGUGAGGAAUACAUCGGAAUCUACUUUUUCGUGGGGGAUAACGUAGGGAAACUUACGCUAAUACCGCAUACGACCUACGGGUGAAAGUAGGGGAUCUUCGGACCUUGCGCGAUUGAAUGAGCCGAUGUCGGAUUAGCUAGUUGGCGGGGUAAAGGCCCACCAAGGCGACGAUCCGUAGCUGGUCUGAGAGGAUGAUCAGCCACACUGGAACUGAGACACGGUCCAGACUCCUAUGGGAGGCAGCAGUGGGGAAUAUUGGACAAUGGGCGCAAGCCUGAUCCAGCCAUACCGCGUGGGUGAAGAAGGCCUUCGGGUUGUAAAGCCCUUUUGUUGGGAAAGAAAAGCAGCAGGUUAAUACCCCGCUGUUCUGACGGUACCCAAAGAAUAAGCACCGGCUAACUUCGU